rnacentral:rRNA from 1 species
UACGUAGGGGGCAAGCGUUGUCCGGAUUUAUUGGGCGUAAAGAGCGUGUAGGCGGCCAUACAGGUCAGCUGUGAAAACUCGAGGCUCAACCUCGAGACGUCGGUUGAAACCGUAUGGCUAGAGUCCGGAAGAGGAGAGUGGAAUUCCUGGUGUAGCGGUGAAAUGCGCAGAUAUCAGGAAGAACACCGGUGGCGAAGGCGGAUCUCUGGGCCAUAACUGACGCUGAGGAGCGAAAGCAUGGGGAGCGAACAGG